rnacentral:lncRNA from 1 species
CGGCACUUGGGUACUGCCCUUACUUGGACAAGCAUCCCACUUAUGAUUGACCCCUCUCGCAAGCAUUCGCAACUACGAAAGAAGAAUUAAGACAAAGUCUAACGAUAGCAUUAAACUAGUGGAUCCAAAUCAGCCCCUUACGAAGCAACACACAAACUAGGGUUUAAGCUUCUGUCACUCUAGCAACCCAUCAUCUACUUACUACUCUCCAAUGCCUUCCUCUAGGCCCAAAUAAUGGUGAAGUGUUAUGUAGUCUCCCACUUAUGAUUAACCCCUCUCGCAAGCAUCCGCAACUGCGAAAGAAGAAUUAAGACAAAGUCUAACCAUAGCAUUAAACUAGUGGAUCCAAAUCAGCCCCUUACGAAGCAACGCAUAAACUAGGGUUUAAGCUUGUGUCACUCUAGCAACCCAUCAUCUACUUACUA